GACGAACGCUGGCGGCGUGCUUAACACAUGCAAGUCGAACGGUAAGGCCCUUCGGGGUACACGAGGGCGAACGGGUGAGUAACACGUGGGUGAUCUGCCCUGCACUUCGGGAUAAGCCUGGGAAACUGGGUCUAAUACCGGAUAGGACUCCGGACUGCAUGGUCUGGGGUGGAAAGCUUUUGCGGUUUUGGAUGGACUCGCGGCCUAUCAGCUUGUUGGUGAGGUAAUGGCUCACCAAGGCGACGACGGGUAGCCGGCCUGAGAGGGUGACCGGCCACACUGGGACUGAGACACUGCCCAGACUCCUACGGGAGGCAGCAGUGGGGAAUAUUGCACAAUGGGCGCAAGCCUGAUGCAGCGACGCCGCGUGAGGGAUGACGGCCUUCGGGUUGUAAACCUCUUUCAGUAGGGAAGAAGCGAAAGUGACGGUACCUGCAGAAGAAGCACCGGCUAACUACGUGCCAGCCGCCGCAGUAA
rnacentral:rRNA from 1 species